ensembl:ncRNA lncRNA:CR45284 long non-coding RNA:CR45284
AAACGUAUUUGUUUGAUUUAAGAAUGGCUUGUUUUAAAGAAAGUACUUAGAGCACUUUGAACCUGAUUAUUUGCGAUUAGUUCCCGCACUAUAAUUGAAUGAAAAAUGCUAACCAGAGUUGGAGCUAAUUAAUUUCCCCUCCCCAUCCGCAACCCAUUCCGGCUCAGUUUUCCGACGGCGGCUUUCAGCCAUUGUUGGUGGCAUUUGUCGCGGCCUCUUUCAAUUGCUUCAUUUUUAUCACAAACAAAAACACACACUCACUCGCUCCUUGUGGCUGUGUCAACCGCCAUCUAAGUGGCCUGCUCCAGUAUCCAGUAUCCAGUAUCCAGUGUCUCUGUGUGCAUGUGUAUCCUUGCGCCUCCCCAUUUGGCUCGUCUCUUUCUUUUUUGGCCCGGUCCACAUUGCUUUGUUUGUGCGGAUUUUAUUUAAUUUGCUUGGCACUUUGUUUGCCUGCCUGUUGGCUUAUUUGUUUUGAUUUUUCAUGCUUCGUGUUUUCGCUGGCGUUUUGGGUUUUCCCACCCACACAAUAUUGUUUGCUGCCUUUGUUGGCUGGUGCUUUUCAGUUGUCUUAACCUUUGCCUUGGCUGAAUGAUUACCUGAAUGUUGGCAAGUGAUUCGAAAAGUGAGUGAGACAUCAUCACACUAACGGAAAGUUGAUUGAAAGUACUUUACCGCAAUGGAAAAGUGCCUCAAAUGCAUUUUCCGUAUUUAAUAUUUGCCAAAACCAACGUGCGCGCCAAUCAAUCGCCACCAGCUGACCCAUUUAACCAAUGUCCAUUCCAUGCAAACAAAUGUCCAUUUGGCUCGGUCAAGCCCCACUCCCUUUGGAUGUCUGCUCCACUUGGCAGCCCUGCUCAAAUAUUAAUUCAUAUCAAGGUUUUGGCAUUCAUUUUCAAUCCAACGCUGCCACACACCCGCAAAUCUCUUUUCCCUUGGCCCACCGCCUUUCCGUUGCGGAUCGUGUAAUGAAAUUUAAGCAGAAUUGUAAACAAAGUUCUGCAAUAAAAUCAACAAACCGCAAAUAAACUGCAAUUUUAGAGCGGAGACCAUACCACGGUUUUCCAUGGAAAAGCAGGCGUGAGAAAGGCUUUUUAUUUAAAACCAAGGCAUCUGGCUGAUUUCACGACCCAUUUGCAAGACACCAUUUUGCAACGAGUGCUGCAAGUGCAACGUGGCUGCACUGGUGGCCCAAAGAAAGUGCCAAAAAACAAAAAAAAAAAAAGAGGAAGCGAAAAAUGGCAAAGGAUGGCACAUUCAUUGGCGAGGCAUUUUCACAAGGCCGCACAGGAACUCCAUUUGAGGCUUCGGCGAAAUUGACAGUGCCUGGGAAUUUGCAGUGACACUCAAUUGUUCCAAUUUGCCGAUCUGAUUUCUUGAUAAUUUAUGCAGCUUGAUUUCGUUUCUCACUUUCUGCUUAUUCACUUUUCCAAUUGAUUUCGUGACUGUCAAAUGAAUUGCGCCUGGCGAGUGUCCUCUUUUUGUUUUCGGCUCUCUCUACUUUCAACCAGAAACCGUGUCGAGGACAUCGAGCCUUAAAAAUAGUUUAGCCAAUAAUUAAUUUGCUCGCCUGACGCCUAAAGUCAAUUAGGCAGAGAAAAAAUGGCUAAAUAUUUCGAAAACAUCGUUUUUGCAUUACCAUUUAAAGGAGAAGUUUUAUUUGCUGCACAAACGCAAAUUAAGUGCUCGUUUAAAGUGAUCAAACGAAGGUAUAUAUUCCUUUUUCUUUUCCAAUUUCCGCAUUCGCUUAUGCGAAGUACUCAAGACGUAAAGAUACACGACUGCCAUAAUUGCAUUGACUCUUGAUGCUCGAUGCUCGAUGCUCGAUGCUCAUUUGGCAUUUCAUAUCGAUGCUGGCUGCACAUUAUUCAUCUCCAACCGACUCAAACAUGAUAAAUGACAGCGAGCGAAGGAAAUUUAUUGGCAUUUCGAUAGGCAAUACUGUUGCCAGUGCGAUUUAAACGGGCGGUAUUGAUAUCGGCCCAUCAUCGAAGGAGAAUGAGAGAAAGCGAACGCAUCAGGGACAAAGACUUUAUCGGGAUUUUAAUCCGUAUUGAACAGCCGGAAGUUUAACCAACUGCAGCCACUUUCGAAGGCGUGGCACCUGAACGCGAAAAUUCCAUUAAGUUUCCUCCAGUGGCAUACUCAUAUACUUUAUCCACGGGUGGCAUCGGUUGGUGCGCUCAAUAAAUUUUAUAAAAUUUAUAUAUUUUGGCAAAAAGACAAGGAUACUUGCAGCAAAUUGGCACCCAACAGGAAAGAUAAACACCAAAUAUUGUUAUCUUUUAAACUAUGCAAUAGAGUGUGUAUAGUACACAUUGUACUCUACUUGGCUCUGUAAAAUGAAAUGAAAUGUCUCUUAGAGUAUUUAAUAUUGCAGUUCCGUAAACGAUACUCUCAUUGUGCAGUCACUCUUCGUCAUUUGCGCUGUUUGUACUCCAACUGCUUCGUUCUGGCUGCUUUAAUGCAAUAAUCCUUGAAUGUCCGACGCACGAACGAGUUGAUAACAAUUUCAAUUUUUAUGACAAGUCAACUUGGCCAGAGCAGCCAGUUAUCCGGCAACAACGUAAGGGCCAAACGAAACGAACUCAAUCGUGCCGAUGGCGAACAAUAAUAAUAUGAACAGCAACAAUAAUAACAUGGCCGAUUGCACCAUUACCGCUCUGGAAACCCUUCGAGUCCAGCGAAUGGCCAUUGCCUUCGCCCGCACUUUUCGCUAUAUACACACUUCUAUACAUACAUAUAUCGAAAUACAUACAUAUAUACGUAUAUAUAUAUAUAGAUGUGCAGUCCGGAGUCAGAGCGUUAUGAUUUAUUGGCAUGCAACACGGCGUUCCCUUCCGGAAAUGUGUGUGCAGUCAGCCAUUUUGAUGCGAGAAAGGCGAAAGGAGGCGUGGCGCCGAGUGGGCGGAAGGGCGGCUUUAUUACGGCUGUUGCCUCCGAGAAAGCUGAGAUAUCACUCAAUUCGCCCUUUGCACACGACUGUCAACAAAUUUGCAUCGCCAUCUGCAAAGGAAGCGUGGAAUGCAACUCACACUCCAACUUGUCUGCCGCUUGAUGGCUUAAUCUAUCCAUCAGAGUGAUAUAUAUCUAUACAUAUAUAUAUAGUAUGUCAAAAAUGAUGCGGUUACCAUAUACGGAAGUGAUAAAAACGUCUUGGUGUUUGAAAACUGCAAAAUAAUCUAAAUUAAAUGUGGCCAUCUGGAUAUAACUCUUAUUUUACUCAGACAAAUCCCAGGUUAGUUAUUUCCGUACUGAAUUCCGUAUUAAAAUUUGCAUGCAAAACUUUUCACUCAAUUCAUAUUCAGUUUAUUUUUGUUGAUGUCCUACUGCCACCGCAAAUCCCCAGAAAAUUACGUCGAUUAUUCAAUCAUUUCGCCAUCAUCCAUUUUGCAAAUCCUUUUUUCACCAGUUGUCCGUUUGGAUGGACACGACCGACUCUGAUUUGUUGAAAGUUUCGUUGUCAGCAGCAAUUAAAACAACACCGCCUACGCCCAAAAAUUUCGCCCACAUUCUGGCCCACUAAAAAAUGCACUGAAAUUACGAGGGCUGUGCAGCAGGGCAAACAAAAACACAGAAUCGUGGAACGAAAACAAAUUGAAGUCCGGCCUGGUCGGGCGACCACAAACGGAAUGUUUUUACAGGCCUGGAACCGGGAUUCGAAUAGGAACUAGGACUCGGUUUCGUCCAGCUCAAAUGAAAUUAAAUACGAAAUGGCAUGGAGCCGGAAAAGCACCACCACCACCGUCGGGCAAAAAUACAUGUGAAUGUGGCUCGAAAGUCAGUCAGUUUUACAGCGAUUUCAGGACCGUAUCGUGGUCCCGGUCCUAGUCCUGGUCCUCAUGGUCCUUAUCCGUAUCCCCAUCCGCAUACGUGUCCGGGUCCGUAGUUCGACCAUUGUUGGCAUGCCAAAAUUUUAACUGCACACCAAAAUAAAUAAACAGUGGCACACGCACGCAGCUGCAAGAAAUUGUUGUAACUUUAAUAGAAACUCCAAACGGAACUAUCAAACUGAAUGCAGCCUUGUGUUUCCGCUAAUGAAAACUUUCCAACUUUCUUUGUUGGUUUUGGCACAGAAAAGGGGCACUGAUGACUGUAAGAGCUUUUUCGGCUAAUCUCUUUCAAUUGCUGCAAAAAAAAAAAAACUAAAUGAGACUUUCAACUGUGAUUAUUCUGCCCAUUUAUAAAUUGAAUCUAACGCAUUUCAGUUGCGGGAGUUUCUUUAAUUUUCGCAUUGUAUCGCAUUGCAUUUGUUGGCUCAGUAAAUAACCCAAAAAUUCUAUUAAGUUUGGGUAGCAAAAAAAUACGGCUUGGGAACUAAGCUCCAUUUCUGCGACCCGUUGUGUGCCAACCUUCAGAAUUGCAAUUACAAUGAGUCGAGGAAGUUGAAAUUCGGUUAGGGACAUGCAUUUCGGAUGAGUCCUGUGUGGGAGUUUGGCAAAGAUAAACCGUAAACUGUGUAAAAAGAACAAUGCGCCUAUUGAAAUAUUUAUAGAAGAGAAAAAUGGGCCAAACUGCUUGAAAGCUCGCCAGAUUUCUGGGGAAAUUAAUGUGCAUGUGUCUACAGCGGUUAGGUCAAACAAUUAAAAAUUAAAUAAGCACUAAAAAGAACAGGACAUAUCUAAAAGUUCUCAUUAAGCAAAAAAAAUUUACGGGGAAUUGGCUUAAGUGAUGGUUUUCAAUGACUUAAUUUGUCAUAAACACGAUUCGCUUAAGUAUAUAAUAUGGCACUUUCAUGUUCAUCGCAUGAAAACGAAAGAAAUCACUGCUGGCCAAGUGCAGACAAAAACGGAAGCAAAUUUAUUUUGCGGAACUAAAUUGAAAUAAUUUUGGCAGCUGAAAUAUGUACGAAAAUAUUUUAAUACCCAUAUAUACACACUCCAAAAUGGAGAGCCUGUGCAAUUCAGCUGCGAGUCUCUAGACUUUGCUGGCAAAUAAAAACAGUUUGGUGAGUGUGCAGAUAUCCUUUCGCUCCUGCUCCUGCUCCAGCUCCAGCUCCUUUUCCCCGUCCAUUUUUCCGCUUUUCCUGAGCUCCCCCGACCAUCUGCAAUGCUUCUGGCAAAUGUGUCGGCCGUCCUUUGCCAUCCGCGCGCUCCAGCUGGCAUUUGGCCAAGUCAUCGUAAUUUCUUCUUCUUUUUUAUUGCAUUGGCCAAAAAGGAAAAUGCAGCUAAAGCGCCGAGAAGGCAAACAAACAAGCGGCAGACAAGAAGUACAUAUUAAAUUUGUCAUUUUAGCGCAAGGACCGAGUUUAUAUGUAUGUAUCUGCGGGGGGACAUUGAAGUCAAAGUUCGCCAGCCGCUCGCUGCAAGUUGUUGUGGUAGUAUAAUUUAAAACCGCAUUCAGGCAGGGAAAUCGAAUUCAAUUGGCUUGGGUUGAAAGAACAAAACGUUUAAGGAAAAUUGUGAGGAAAUUGCUGAAAGAAAGUUGCUUCUUGCGCAUUACAAGGCGAAUAAGUUAAACUUAACUACGAUUUUCUCAGCCACCCAAAAGUAUGCUACAAAACAGAAAUCUAAGUUUUCAGAAAUUCAAAUUAAACUUUUGCUGCAAUUAUUUGGCACUUCGACAAGAUUUUGCCAUUACCUCGUUUGUUUUUAUUGAUAUUUUCCCUGAACAUUCAUUAAUUUCACUUCAUUUUCCACCUAGUUUACCGUCUUCUUGGCACACCAAGUCAACCGCACUGUAAUUAUUUUAUGAUGACACUGAGAUUGUUUCAGGAUUGCACUCUGGCUUAGUUCGAAAGCCUUUCACAAUUGCUAUGGCCGACCUUUGGCUCAAUUGCAAAUUGAACGCCCACUAAGGCAACAAAGACAACAGCACUUUUGGCACAGACCCAACAUUUUGCAUUAAUAAACAUUGCAACAUUGUGGCAACAGGCGAAUUUGUGUAGUCAUAAUCGUUUUAUUCUGGGGGAGGUUCUGGUUUUGUUCAAUAUCUGAAAAUUUCUGUUCAUUGCAGUGCUUUCUGUGGCUUUUCAGCUGUGGUUAUCCUCUUUUCUAGGACUGCAGCACUGCACAACUAUUUCUCACCGGAAUUCCACAUAUGUAUGCACUCAUAUACAAUUUCGUAAUGCCGUCAAAAUCAGCAAAUAGGAUAAAGUAAAUGUUGAUAUGCAGGUGAAAGGCAAAUAGACCGAACCAAAAUCGACCGGCAAAUAUAAAAACAGAGCACCAGUGAAGAGAUUUCAACUGUGCUGAUGUAUAUUUUAAUUGAAAUAUGCACAUUUGUUUGAACAAAAGGCUUUAUACCAUUUUCCGUUUCAGCUGCGUUUGCAUGAAAUUUCAUUUUAUAAAGUCCGCUCUCAUUU